CUGCCCUUUGUUUCUACACACCUGAGGUUAAUAAGCUCACCUGUUUGUCAUCAGGUGAUUGUCUCACCACUAUUUUGAUUGAGGAACGCCUUCUGUUGUUGACUGAGUUUUAAGCUGUGUUAGUAAAACCGGCUCUCGUGUGGGAGACCAGGGGAUUUAAGCUACACUGUCGACUGUGCCUAGAAGGAGAGCUGAGGUCUGACAGGAGUGGGAGGUGAUACGGAGUACUGUUGGAGCCUCUGGGCUUGGAUUGGAAGCAAUGUUUCCAUCAGUCUGUCAGUCUGACCCGCCAGCCUGUGGGAUAUGCUGCUCAGUCACAAGGAAGAUCUCCCUCAAACAUGCAAUAUGUGUGACUGACUGAGGCUUGCCAACUAAGCUGCUGAUGCAGUGCUGACUUAAGUCAUACCUGUGGUUUGUGAACUUUCCAAUGUAAUCAAAUGCAUUUCCGUUGUAGGGAUAAUUAUCAUUAUUAAAUGGUGAAAAAACAGCUUUACUUUUAUUCAUUCAUUGUUGCUUUGAUGUUUAUUUAUUUAACUGAUGUGCCACCCAUCCGCUAGUCAAACCCAAGAUUCCUCUCUAAUGAAAAGGAGACAUCAGAAUUAAGGGCAGAUACUAGCACACACACUGACUAUAAUUUGCCAACACAUGUUUGAGCUCAAGUCACAACAUAAUCCUCAACUGCCAGAAAUCCAGACCCAUCAGGUAUAAAUGCAAAUGAGUGGUGUGACUGUAAAGACUGAUUUUAUUCUCGUAAACACUAGCAUAGUGUUUACGAGAAUAAAUAUCAUGGGUGAUAUCAGGAACUGUUUACAAAAGCAGAAACAUACUUGUAUGGCUUUGAUGUGUCAAUUAUUCACGACACGCCACAACGUUGCAUGAAACUGUCGGACAUUUGUGAGCAGAAACACAUGUAUUAAAUGGUGCUUAGAAUCAUACAUAUUAACAAGCUGGAAAUUUUAUUGAAUCAGAUUAAUAUCCCAGACAGCAAUAUGAAAAACUGUCAUAAAUUACAUUACAGAAGCUUUCAGAAAGAGAUAACAUCUAUAAUUUGAAUACAAUAAGAUUAAAGUAUUUUUUUAAGCAAGAGGUUCUUUUGUCUGAGAGAAAACAUGGAUGUAA